GCCGGGGUGGCAGAGCGGACAAUUUCCGCGGAAACCAUGCCGCGGGAGUUCAAACGCGGCAGGCUCGAGACCUGUUGUCCCUUCCAGGGACGCUUGGGUUCAAAUCCCAACCCCGGCG
rnacentral:tRNA from 1 species